rnacentral:rRNA from 1 species
AGACAGGUGGUGCAUGGUUGUCGUCAGCUCGUGUCGCGAGAUGUUGGGUUAAGUCCCGCAACGAGCGCAACCCUUGUAUUCAGUUGCUACGCAAGAGCACUCUGGAUAGACUGCCGUUGACAAAACGGAGGAAGGUGGGGAUGACGUCAAAUCAUCAUGCCCCUUACGACCUGGGCCACACACGUACUACAAUGGCGCACAACAGAGGGAAGCAAGACAGCGAUGUGGAGCAAACCCCUAAAAUGCGUCCCAGUUCAGAUUGCAGGCUGCAACCCGCCUGCAUGAAGUCGGAAUUGCUAGUAAUCGCGGAUCAGCAUGCCGCGGUGAAUACGUUCCCGGGCCUUGUACACACCGCCCGUCACACCAUGGGAGCCGGUAACACCCGAAGUCAGUAGCCUGACCGCAAGGAGGGCGCUGCCGAAGGUGGGAUUGGUGACUGGGGUGAAGUCGUAACAAGGUAGCCGUAUCGGAAGGUGCGGCUGGAUCACCUC